rnacentral:rRNA from 1 species
UUCUCCUACGGGGGGCAGCAGUGGGGAAUAUUGGACAAUGGGGGAAACCCUGAUCCAGCGACGCCGCGUGAGUGAAGAAGUAUUUCGGUACGUAAAGCUCUCUCAGCAGGAAAGAAAAUGACGGUACCUGAGUAAGAAGCCGCGGCUAACUACGUGCCAGCAGCCGCGGUAAUACGUAGGGGGCAAGCGUUAUCCGGAAUUACUGGGUGUAAAGGGAGCGUAGACGGCAAUGCAAGUCCGGAGUGGAAUGCGGCAGCUCAACUGCCGAACUGCUCUGGAAACUGUAUGGCUUGAGUGCAGGAGGG